rnacentral:rRNA from 1 species
GACGAACGCUGGCGGCGUGCCUAAUACAUGCAAGUAGAACGCACAGUUUAUACCGUAGCUUGCUACACCAUAGACUGUGAGUUGCGAACGGGUGAGUAACGCGUAGGUAACCUGCCUGGUAGCGGGGGAUAACUACUGGAAACGAUAGCUAAUACCGCAUAAUAUUAAUUAUUGCAUGAUAAUUAAUUGAAAGGUGCAAUUGCACCACUACCAGAUGGACCUGCGUUGUAUUAGCUAGUAGGUGAGGUAACGGCUCACCUAGGCGACGAUACAUAGCCGACCUGAGAGGGUGAUCGGCCACACUGGGACUGAGACACGGCCCAGACUCCUACGGGAGGCAGCAGUAGGGAAUCUUCGGCAAUGGACGAAAGUCUGACCGAGCAACGCCGCGUGAGUGAAGAAGGUUUUCGGAUCGUAAAGCUCUGUUGUAAGAGAAGAACGGGUGUGAGAGUGGAAAGUUCACACUGUGACGGUAUCUACCA